UCAGAAUUCUCGCUGCUGCUGCCUGCUGGUCCUAAUGACGUAAGCUAAACACUAACAGUCGGUUAGGAUUUCAUUUCAGCCUGCGCUAAAAUGUUUCAGCAAUUCUUUGAUAACCAAAAUAUCCGUACACAUUAAGUGCUAUCUUUUGUUUCUCGAUUCCCUAAUCGUCAUACCUGGGUUGUACGGCUACGUUGGUCACUUUACACGUGGUUGCAAGAAAGCAGUCCAAUCAAGGAAAUGUUAGAGGCAUCCCAAGAUUUGGAUUUUUCUUCAUUUGAACAGAUCACGAGGCUGAGUAUAGGUUUGAUAAAUUUAUGUGAUUUGCAUUCCAAGAUUCUCAACAACAUUGACUGUCUUGAGGCAACAGCGGAGAAACAAUGUCUGAAUGAGGAGCUUACUCGGUGAAUUCGAAACUAAUUGAAACAUCUAAUCAAUUUGAAAAACUUGACUGAAACAAUCAAAGGACUAUAAUUGAAAGCAAUCCAGCCGUCCCGUCCAAUCGUUCGUGAAUGCUAAGGAAGGAUUGUUAGCUGUCACUAGGUGGCUAAAACUAUGUCCACUUGACGGCGCGAUGUCAAAGGCACUGAGCGAAAAGGGUGGAGCUGGACUGCUGAAGAUGCUGUGUACAGUUUCCCAAAAUUUCGUCUCUUACUACCUUUACCGGGUGAGCGUUUCGUCACAUGCAGAAAAACUUCAGAACAAUUAAAUCUAAUGGGCACAUGGAUUUGCUGCAGUCAUCCAGUGAAAGGUGUGAAUAAAUUGAGCUGUUGCAUGCAGUCUUUGGUGCCAAUGUUGUCCUGGAAUGUGGGAGAGCUCCAUGCUUCAAGUCUUAUGGGAUCAGCCAUAUAUCUUGGUUGACGCUGGAUCAUGCUGCAUUGUGGUUGCCGAAAUCUUGGACAUCUAGUAGAACUGCAAGAAGCCUUCUUGAAAUGCAGUGAUGUUGCUGUCAAAUGUGGCAUGUUGUUGCAGCCUGCUGGUGAAGGAUUUUUUGCAUCAAGUUAAACUGUUACUGUUCCUGUGUACCGGACUGCUGGUGUUGUGCACAGAAGUUCCAUCCAGAUUUAAUUGUUAUUUGUGACUAUGCAGUCAACGGUUUAUAUGUUGAAAAGAAAAAGAAACAGUUCCUUGGUGUUGUAUCGCUGGUGCUGUGCCACAGAAGUAACAUCCUGUAUUUUGUUUAAUUGCCAUUUGCGUCUAUGAAGUUAAUCGUUUAUAUGUUGAGAAACAACAAAAACAGUAAAAACGGGGAAUAUUUACGUUGAAGUAAUAAACAAGCCUUCGUGAUUGGAAAUCAACGAGGAGAUGGGGGGGGGGGUAUUUGAUAUUCAUUAACUAGAAGCAUCGUGGUUUUUUUUAAUAAGGUAGAAAUAAAAUUCUUUGUCUAUCACAUCCAUAUAUACCUACCUGUAUAACCACAUCUAUUCCUCAAACCCCAUAGCCUCCACCAACAUCCACAUACCUUAACCCCCAUUUUCCCACAAAUGUCAAAUAUCUGUAAUAUGUAAAUAUUAUUGUUAAAUAACUAAACAUGAUCAAUCAAAUAAACAAACUGAAACUUUUA